rnacentral:misc_RNA from 1 species
GAGGGUCCCCUCCGGGGGCCCAACCUCCCACCCGUGUCUACCGUACCAUGUUGCUUCGGCGGGCGCGCCCGUGCCCGCCGGAGACCCCUUGAACGCUGUUGUGAAUAAGGUUGUCUGAGUGAUAUUGCAAACUGUCAAAACUUUCAACAACGGAUCUCUUGGUUCCGGCAUCGAUGAAGAACGCAGCGAAAUGCGAUAAGUAAUGUGAAUUGCAGAAUUCCGUGAAUCAUCGAAUCUUUGAACGCACAUUGCGCCCCCCGGCAUUCCGGGGGGCAUGCCUGUCCGAGCGUCAUUGCCACCCCUCAAGCACGGCUUGUGUGUUGGGCUGUCGUCCCCCCCCCCGGGGGACGGGCCCGAAAGGCAGCGGCGGCACCGCGUCCGGUCCUCGAGCGUAUGGGGCUCUGUCACCCGCUCCGGAGGCCUGGCCGGUGCCCGCCCACCCCGUCGAUCUUUCCAGGUUGACCUCGG